UACGAAGGGGCUAGCGUUGCUCGGAAUCACUGGGCGUAAAGCGCACGUAGGCGGACUCUUAAGUCGGUGGUGAAAUCCUGGAGCUCAACUCCAGAACUGCCUUCGAUACUGAGAGUCUCGAGUCCGGGAGAGGUGAGUGGAACUGCGAGUGUAGAGGUGAAAUUCGUAGAUAUUCGCAAGAACACCAGUGGCGAAGGCGGCUCACUGGCCCGGUACUGACGCUGAGGCGGCGAAAGC
rnacentral:rRNA from 1 species